UAGCCGUAAACGAUACUCGCUAGGUGUCGGCCACGGUGCGACCGUUGUCGGUGCCGUAGGGAAGCCGUGAAGCGAGCCACCUGAGAAGUACGGCCGCAAGGCUGAAACUUAAAGGAAUUGGCGGGGGAGCACAACAACGGGUGGAGCUUGCGGUUUAAUUGGAUUCAACGCCGGAAAUCUUACCGGGACCGACAGCAACAUGAAGGCCAAGCUGAAGACUUUGCCGGAUUAGCUGAGAGGUGGUGCAUGGCGUAGUCGUGU
rnacentral:rRNA from 1 species